rnacentral:rRNA from 1 species
UACGUAGGGUGCGAGCGUUGUCCGGAAUUAUUGGGCGUAAAGAGCUUGUAGGCGGUUUGUCGCGUCUGCUGUGAAAACUGGAGGCUCAACCUCCAGCCUGCAGUGGGUACGGGCAGACUAGAGUGCGGUAGGGGAGAUUGGAAUUCCUGGUGUAGCGGUGGAAUGCGCAGAUAUCAGGAGGAACACCGAUGGCGAAGGCAGAUCUCUGGGCCGUAACUGACGCUGAGGAGCGAAAGCAUGGGGAGCGAACAGG